GCACUUCCGCUGGCUGGGUAUCCGCGGCAAGUUCAGAUCAUUAGUUGGCUGGAGUUAAUUAACCACCAGACAAUUAGCUUAUCUUUUUCCCGAUCCUAAGACCAGCUGGAUUGCAUACAAUGAGUACAUCCAGAUAGUUAAGACCCUUGGAAUCAAGAUUAAGAGAACCAUCAAUUAAGGAGGCAGUGCGCACCUCUCCAGGGAAAUUUACUCCAGUGCUUCAUCCUACCUCAUUGGACACAGCCGACCGUGUUGGUCCUGGUUCCCUCUUCAAAUGCUGGCUCCUGGAAAUAGCAUCAAAGCAAGCAGCUGAUAAGACAAAACUGGGUUGUUGCUUAUGCUAAGGGGAAGCACCACCUUGAAAGAGUCAUUGUAGAGUGGAGGUCGGGAGGGCAAAGUUGAGAUACUGAGGUUUUGGGGUUUGGUUUAAGGCAGGUCCUUUGAUGUCGGACUUAAUCAGGGCUGGGUAAGGAUCAUGUUAUAAUAGUUUAGGAUUGUUGGUCACAGUUUUGUAUUGGUGGUCACAGUGAAGUGAGGGCUUCAAAGACUCUUGGAGCUUUCUUUGAUGCUCCCUGUUGAAGAGCUGUGUGGUUUUAUUAAUGGAUUUUCCUGAACUCAAGGAGUAAGGUUAUUUGCAACUUUUGUGUUUCUGGGCAAGCAUUUCCUGGAAUAAUAAAGUCACAAUAAUAGAGUCAUGUUAUUUUGCUUCAGCAAUUGUGAGUCGGAGUACUCUGCUAUUUGUAUCCAGAGGCACCCUGUUAUGGUUUCCUUGUGUGUAAAAUGGGGA
rnacentral:lncRNA from 1 species